rnacentral:rRNA from 1 species
CUACGGGAGGCAGCAGUGAGGAAUAUUGGGCAAUGGGCGCAAGCCUGACCCAGCCAUGCCGCGUGAAGGAUGUAGGCGUCCUGCGUUGUAAACUUCUUUUAUCUGGGAAGAAACCUUAGAUUUCUAUUUAAGCCGACGGUACCAGAUGAAUUAGCACCGGCUAACUCCGUGCCAGCAGCCGCGGUAAUACGGAGGGUGCAAGCGUUAUCCGGAUUCACUGGGUUUAAAGGGUGUGUAGGCGGGCUAUUAAGUCAGUGGUGAAAUCUCCGGGCUCAACCCGGAAACUGCCGUUGAUACUAUUAGUCGUGAAUUCUGUUGAGGUGGGCGGAAUACAUCAUGUAGCGGUGAAAUGCUUAGAUAUGAUGUAGAACACCGAUUGCGAAGGCAGCUCACUAAGCAGCGAUUGACGCUGAGGCACGAAAGCGUGGGGAUCAAACAGGAUUAGAAACCCUUGUAGUCA